UAGGUGUCCCUCCAGUCUGAUUGAGUGUCUGGUCUCGUCCACUCUGUUGUAGAAGACACAUACUGUAGGUGUCCCUCCAGUCUGAUUGAGUGUCUGGUCUCGUCCACUCUGUUGUAGAAGACACAUACUGUAGGUGUCCCUCCAGUCUGAUUUAGUGUCUGGUCUCGUCCACUCUGUUGUAGAAGACACAUACUGUAGGUGUCCCCUCCAGUCUGAUUGAGUGUCUGGUCUCGUCCACUCUGUUGUAGAAGACACAUACUGUAGGUGUCCCCUCCAGUCUGAUUGAGUGUCUGGUCUCGUCCACUCUGUUGUAGAAGACACAUACUGUAGGUGUCCCCUCCAGUCUGAUUGAGUGUCUGGUCUCGUCCACUCUGUUGUAGAAGACACAUACUGUAG